rnacentral:rRNA from 1 species
AUACGUAGGGGGCGAGCGUUGUCCGGAAUCACUGGGCGUAAAGGGCGCGUAGGUGGUUAUCUAAGUUAGACGUGAAAUCCAUGGGCUUAACCUGAGGCUUGCGUUUAAGACUGGAUAACUUGAGUGCAGGAGAGGGGAGCGGAAUUCCUGGUGUAGCGGUGAUAUGCGUAGAUAUCAGGAGGAACACCAGUGGCGAAGGCGGCUUUCUGGACUGUAACUGACACUGAGGCGCGAAAGCCGGGGGAGCAAACAGGAUUAGAUACCCUGGUAGUCCCGGCUGUAAACGAUGGGUACUAGGUGUAGGGGGUAUCGACCCCUCCUGUGCCGCAGUUAACACAAUAAGUACCCCGCCUGGGGAGUACGACCGCAAGGUUGAA